rnacentral:rRNA from 1 species
GACGAACGCUGGCGGCGUGCUUAACACAUGCAAGUCGAACGAAGUGGCGAACGGGUGAGUAACGCGUAAUCAACCUGCCCUUCAGAGGGGGACAACAGUUGGAAACGACUGCUAAUACCGCAUACUGUAGGAGGGGAUUGCGUCGGAUUAGAUAGUUGGAGGGGUAACGGCCCACCAAGGCGAUGAUCAGUAGCCGGUCUGAGAGGAUGAACGGCCACAGUGGGACUGAGACACGGCCCAGACUCCUACGGGAGGCAGCAGUGGGGAAUCGUCCGCAAUGGAGGAAAGUCUGACUGAGCAACGCCGCGUGAGUGAUGACGGCCUUCGGGUUGUAAAGCUCUGUUAAUCGGGACGCGGUACCGGAAUAGAAAGCGACGGCUAACUACGUGCCAGCAGCCGCGGUAAUAC